rnacentral:tRNA from 1 species
GGUUGUGACUCAGUGGGAGAGUGCUUGCCUAGCAUGUGUGAGGCACUGGGUUCGAUCCUCAGCAUCA